AAUGAACGCUGGCGGCGUGCCUAAUACAUGCAAGUCGAGCGAACAGACGAGGAGCUUGCUCCUCUGAUGUUAGCGGCGGACGGGUGAGUAACACGUGGAUAACCUACCUAUAAGACUGGGAUAACUUCGGGAAACCGGAGCUAAUACCGGAUAACAUGUUGAACCGCAUGGUUCAACAGUGAAAGACGGUCUUGCUGUCACUUAUAGAUGGAUCCGCGCCGCAUUAGCUAGUUGGUAAGGUAACGGCUUACCAAGGCAACGAUGCGUAGCCGACCUGAGAGGGUGAUCGGCCACACUGGAACUGAGACACGGUCCAGACUCCUACGGGAGGCAGCAGUAGGGAAUCUUCCGCAAUGGGCGAAAGCCUGACGGAGCAACGCCGCGUGAGUGAAGAAGGUCUUCGGAUCGUAAAACUCUGUUAUUAGGGAAGAACAAAUGUGUAAGUAACUAUGCACGUCUUGACGGUACCUAAUCAGAAAGCCACGGCUAACUACGUG
rnacentral:rRNA from 1 species